rnacentral:rRNA from 1 species
AGAGUUUGAUCCUGGCUCAGGACGAACGCUGGCGGCGUGCCUAAUACAUGCAAGUAGAACGCUGAAGGAGGAGCUUGCUUCUCUGGAUGAGUUGCGAACGGGUGAGUAACGCGUAGGUAACCUGCCUGGUAGCGGGGGAUAACUAUUGGAAACGAUAGCUAAUACCGCAUAAUAGUAGAUGUUGCAUGACAUUUGCUUAAAAGGUGCAAUUGCAUCACUACCAGAUGGACCUGCGUUGUAUUAGCUAGUUGGUGGGGUAACGGCUCACCAAGGCGACGAUACAUAGCCGACCUGAGAGGGUGAUCGGCCACACUGGGACUGAGACACGGCCCAGACUCCUACGGGAGGCAGCAGUAGGGAAUCUUCGGCAAUGGACGGAAGUCUGACCGAGCAACGCCGCGUGAGUGAAGAAGGUUUUCGGAUCGUAAAGCUCUGUUGUAAGAGAAGAACGAGUGUGAGAGUGGAAAGUUCACACUGUGACGGUAUCUUACCAGAAAGGGACGGCUAACUACGUGCCAGCAGCCGCGGUAAUACGUAGGUCCCGAGCGUUGUCCGGAUUUAUUGGGCGUAAAGCGAGCGCAGGCGGUUAGAUAAGUCUGAAGUUAAAGGCUGUGGCUUAACCAUAGUACGCUUUGGAAACUGUUUAACUUGAGUGCAAGAGGGGAGAGUGGAAUUCCAUGUGUAGCGGUGAAAUGCGUAGAUAUAUGGAAGGACUCCGGUGGCGAAAGCGGCUCUCUGGCUUGUAACUGACGCUGAUGAUCAAGCGUGGGGGAGCAAACUGAUAGAUACCUUGUAGUCUACGCGUAACGAUGACUGCUAAGAGUUAAACCUUUACGGGUUUAAUGCCGAGCUAACGACUAAGCACUCCCGCU